rnacentral:rRNA from 1 species
ACGUAGGAGGCGAGCGUUAUCCGGAUUUACUGGGCGUAAAGCGCGUGCAGGCGGUGCGAUAAGUCGUGCGUGAAAGCUCCCAGGCUUAACCGGGAGAGGACGUGCGAGACUGUCGGACUAGAGGCAGGUAGAGGCAAGUGGAAUUCCGGGUGUAGUGGUGAAAUGCGUAGAGAUCCGGAGGAACCCCGGUGGCGAAGGCGGGUGCCUGGGCGACGACUGACACUGAGGGACGAAAGCGUGGGGAGCGAACAG